rnacentral:rRNA from 1 species
UACAGAGGUCUCAAGCGUUGUUCGGAUUCAUUGGGCGUAAAGGGUGCGUAGGCGGCGCGGUAAGUCGGGUGUGAAAUUUCGAGGCUUAACUUCGAAACUGCAUUCGAUACUGCCGUGCUAGAGGACUGGAGAGGAGACUGGAAUUUACGGUGUAGCGUGAAAUGCGUAGAUAUCGUAAGGAAGACCAGUGGCGAAGGCGGGUCUCUGGACAGUUCCUGACGCUGAGGAGCGAAAGCUAGGGGAGCAAACGGG